rnacentral:misc_RNA from 1 species
AUAAUAGUAUUUAUGAAGAUAUUGAAUUAGUUUAAAUUGUUUUUUAUAUGUCAUUUUGUCUAAGAAAUGGUAAAAUUCUACAUUACAUUUUUUGUAAACAACUUUAAGACUCGAGCUUUGUUUACAUAAUUAUUCAAUUCUUACCUCUGUAUCUCGCUUGUAACUUGACCUUAACAUUUAAUAUUUUGGUCAAUUACUUAAAAUGCUCCAGUAAACCAUUUUAUACAUAAUGUAUAUAAAAAAUAAAAAUAUAAUUUUUGAUCUCAAAUCGUGUCCAAGUCCCUUUAAUAAUAAACACAAUUCACCAAAUGAAUGUUUCAAUUUUAAAUACAGUGUGCUGCCUAACUCAUCACAAUGUAAUUUAUGAUAAUUUUACAAGCAUUGGUCAGGUGCAUUUACCAAUCUUAGAUCCUGGACUCUUCCCAGUUUGUUCCUGGUCCUCUCAUUUAUCCAAAAUAUUCAUGAUCAUAAAAUGAGCAUCUCUUGGAUGAUGCAAAAUCAAAUGCUGUAGUUUUUUUUUUUUUUAAAUUAAGUGUAUCAUAAAAUGAUCAACUAUCAUGUAUAUGUACAAUAUCUUGUAGAUAGGUGAUCAAUAAUGUUAAUAAUAAAAUAUAUUUCUU